GGCGAACGCUGGCGGCGUGCUUAACACAUGCAAGUCGAACGGAGUGCUAAAGAUGAUUUCUUCGGAAUGAAUUUUUAGUUACUUAGUGGCGGACGGGUGAGUAACGCGUGAGGAACCUGCCUCUCAGAGGGGGACAACAGUUGGAAACGACUGCUAAUACCGCAUAAUGCAUUCUGAUCGCAUGAUCGGGAUGCCAAAGAUUUAUCGCUGAGAGAUGGCCUCGCGUCUGAUUAGAUAGUUGGUGGGGUAACGGCCUACCAAGUCGACGAUCAGUAGCCGGACUGAGAGGUUGACCGGCCACAUUGGGACUGAGACACGGCCCAG
rnacentral:rRNA from 1 species